rnacentral:lncRNA from 10 species
UUCAAGUGAUUCUCCUGCCUCAGCCUCCUCGGUAGCUGGGACUCCAGGUGCAUGCCACCAUGCCUGGCAAAUUUUUUUUAUUUUUAGUAGAGACAGGGUUUUGCCAUGUUGGCCAGGCUGGUCUCGAACUCCUGAUCUCGAGUGAUCUGCCCACCUUGGCCUCCCAAAGUGAUGGAAUUACAGCCAUGAGCCACCAUGCCCAGCCAGUUAUAGGAAUUUCCUUAGAACAAAUAACUUGGGACCACACUUUCUAAAGCACUUGAUAAGAAUAUGGAAAUUCAUGAAGCACAUUUAUCAGAUGGUUACAGAACUUGCUAUAGGUAAGCGAGGGUUGUAUGCAUAGAAAAUGAGGCCCUAAAACUGGAAGAGAGAGAAAAUUGCAACAAUUUAGUAUCAACCAUUACUGAUUUAGUUAAGACAGAAAAUGUGGAAGGAUGUCUCUCUCUCUCUCUCUGUCUCUCUCUCACACACACACACACACACACACACACACACACACACGAAGAGCAAUUGGAGAGAAAACUAGCUCAGUUAAGAGAACAAAGCAAGGAAGCCUGUGUCAUCCCUGGUUAUGCAGUGACAGACAGUAACAGCAUAAGUGCUAAUAGUAAAGUGUGACAUAUUUCUGUCGACAGUUUGAACAUAAGAAGAGUUUGAGAAGUUUUCUCCACUAACUUCAUUGUUUUGAUCAACUGGACUCAAUCAAAGGGGAAAGAUAUUCUAAUCCCGAGGAAGACUACCCAGUUGCAGCUGGAAAUAAAUAGAUCAGAAAACCUGGAUGGGCCAGGAUGGAAUAAAGGAGUGAAAAUGACAGUUAUAGACUCCUAAGAUCAGCCAAACAAGAUAUGUUUAUAAGUAUAAAUUAUUUGAAUAUAAUAAUUCAAAUAAUUUCAAUAUAUAAUUAUUUGAAUGUAAUAAUGUACAGUUGCAAAACACUUUAUGGGCCGGGCGUGGUGGCUCCUGCCUGUAAUCCCAGCACUUUGGGAGGCUUAGGUGGGUGGAUUGCUUGAUCCGGGGAGGUGGAGGUUGUGGUGAGACAAGAUCACACCACUACACUCCAGCCUGGGUGACAGAGUGAGACCAUGUCUCAAUUCUCUACCCCAGCCUUACACAUUAAACAUAUUUUGGUGGAAUUCAUGCCUUUGGCCAAUUGGUUACUGAUAUCUCUGUUAUCUAUGCAGAGCAGUGUUCCACAAACGAUUCCACUAAGCUAAGGCAGUGACCAGCACACAUUGGGACCAUUUUAUAACCAUUAUGGAGUCUACAAAAGGAUCUAUACUCAUUAAAGAGUCAGUUAUAUACUAGCAAUUUGUCAGAGCACCAGGAGGCCAAAUAAAGAGGAAAAUGUAUAAUGACACCAUGCUACUCCAGGAAAAACCUUUUAGAGUGCUUCUUUAGAACACAUACAUAUUUUAAGAAUUCUGAAUCACAGUAAAAAUCUUAAUUGCAGGAGUUAUGUAGAAACUCUAAGUCAUGUCUUUGCUUUAAAAAGUAUAUAUUAUUUAGGCCAGGAGUGGUGACCUCACGCUUGUAAUCCCAGCACUUCGGGAGGCUGAGGCAGGAGGAUCACCAGAGGUCAGGAGUUCAAGACCAGCCUGGCCAACAUAGCGAAGCUGCACCUCUACUAAAAAUCCAAAAAAUUAGCCAGGCCUGGAGGUGCGUGCCUAUGAUCUCAGCUACUCAGGAGGCUGAAGCACGAGAAUCACUUGAACCCGGUAAGUGAAGGUUGCAGUGAGCCGAGAUCGCACCACUGCACUCCAGCCUGGAUGACAGAGUGAAACUGUGUCAAAAAAAAAAAAAAAAGUAUGCAUUAUUCAUUCAUUUGUUUAUCUGCUUCUUCCUUUAGUAAACAAAUAAGACAAGUUCUUAUAGUGCUGACUGUUAAGUUGGGGGAUAGAGUAAAUAAUAAAGGAACACACAGAUGAUUUCAAAUAAUGCCAAGUACUGUGAAGGAAACCAAUACAUGAAAUGAUUGUUCACAAACAAAGGCAGGGUAAAGGGAUGGGGAAAGUUCCUGUUUAAAAUAGGUCAUCAAAGAAGACCCCUCUAAGGAGGAGACUUUUAAAGUGAGCCCUGAAGGAUGAAAAGGAACCUAUGACAUGUAAAAUGAAUUAAAGGAUAGCUAAUAUAGGUGAAGAAGAGUAGAAAAUGAAGGGGAAACUGGCAUGAGACAGGGCCAAAUGAAGCAGAACUUUGUAGGACAUGAUAACGAACUUGGGUUUUGUUGGAAGUGCAAUGGGAAGGUUUUAAGUAUGGGUGUAAUUUGAUAUGAUGGCAAGAUUAGAAGUGGGAAGACCUGUUUACAGUCAUCUGCAUGAGAGGAGCUUGGAUUAGGGUAGAACCAUAUAGUCUUCUGUCAAUCUUUACUGCCAAGUGAUCUCUGCUUCCAACAUAGACACAGUAUAGGAAGAAUGAGUGAAGUUGUUUGCUAAUGGAUGUUGAUAGCACUUUGAGGUAGGAAGCUGACAAAGUAGCAAGCCAACAAAUAAAAGGGAGGGAAUGCAAUAGUAAGGGAGUUUUUAUUGGGCAUGUUGAUGAUGUAGUUGUAAAGAAUUAUGAUUUCAGUGGAAAAGCUAGGAAAUAGGAAUUAGAGGUACAAUUAAGUGACAUAUUAUUAGUAUAUAAUGGAGUCUCUGAGAGUACUUGCUCCCUGAAUAACACCUAUCUUCCUUGCAUGGAUUCUAGAUAAUUUGUAAGAUAAAACAAACAGUAAAGAUUGAGUCAAAAAUAUUCAUUUCAUGACUGAUAAAAAUGAAGCUGGAAUGUAUGGCUUACUAACUAAGCCCCAGAAUUAGGAAAUUCCUCAUCCUGUGCCUGGAGCAGAGCUGAGAGUGUGCUCUGUGUGGGCGGGCUCACUCCACCAGAAAGAGUGUAGAGUUGGUGGGGAGUGUUAUUCUCCGCAAAUUUACCAGUCAGAAAAAUCACUGCACAAGCCCAGACACAGAAGCAGUGUAAGUAAAGGGAUGGGGAGAGGCUCAGGACUACAUUAAUUGGGUUCCUUUCUUGGGAAGGAUGCAUGAGAAGUGGGGAAGAAGUGUAUCUGGGAACAUACAAGAUGCAGAGAGAGAAAGGUACAUUUCACAGAGAGUUGCAGAGACCGUGUGGACCACUCCAACUCUUGAACUACAGACAAUAUUGAGUGUGUAGGGGGGUAGGAAGUGGGAGGAUCAACUACGUUGGACCCUGUUUGGAAAAAUAAUAGCUUCAUCUUAUUCUCUACCCAGUAGGUUAGAAGUUUUGGAAUGUAAGGAUAUUACUUUCAAUAAACAUUGACUGUUGACCUCUCUUCUUUCCUACUGAUUUAGGAGAAUUGAUGACUCAUUAUUUGUUUCCAGAGGUACAGGCAUUGGAACUGCUGAAGGCCCGAAAGACCCGUUCCAUAGCAGGAGGCAUUAGACUGUUCCCAAAAUCCACUGAAAAUUGAUCUGGAAGACUUUUUUUUUUUUUGAAACUAGGCUUGCCCCAUCUCUGCCAGGUUGGGGUGUGGUGAUGCCAUCAUUGCACAUUGCAGCCAAGGAACUCCUGGACUCAAGUGACCCUCCCACCUCAGUCUCCGCAGUAGCUAGGAUUACAGGCAUGAGCCACUGGGCCCAGCUGGAAAAGUUUUAGAAGCCUUGUUGACUUGGGAGAAGCUUAAUUCAAUGAACUGCUUUAUUGAGCUGGCUUUACUCAGGCUGCUUUCUACUCGGGCCUUUGAAGAGUGCAUAACCUAAAAGAAAUGUAGAAAAUAAUCACAAAGAGACUUCUUUAUCUGGGGAUUUAUUAUCUGAAUCUCUAAAGUUAUAAUACUGUAGGAAAAGGAACUCAUCAUAAUACAAAAAUAUUCAGUGCUUUUCUAUUUUUAUUUAUUUCCUUUUACUCUUUUGCCCUUGAUAUGGUUUGGCUGUGUCCCCACUCAAAUCUCAUCUUAAAUUAUAGCUCCCAUAAUUCUCAUGUGUUGUGGGUGGGACCGGUGGGAGGUAAUUGAAUCAUGGGGGUGGGUCUUUCUCAUGCUGUCCUUGUGAUAGUGAAUAAGUCUCACGAGAUCUGAUGGUUUUAUAAAGGGGAGUUCCCCUGUACAUGCCCUCUUUGUCUACCAAAAUGUAAGAUGUGACUUUGCUCCUCUUUCGCCUUCUGCCAUGAUUGUGAAGCCUCCCCAGCCAGGUAGAACUGUGAGUCCAUUAAACUUCUUUUUUUUUCUAAAUUACCCAGUAUCUGAUAUGUCUUUAUUACCAGCGUGAACAUAGACUAAUACAGCCCUCCUCCUUCUCCUCUGUCACAUUUUCUUCUUAUAGGUCUUCUAACACAGAGCUUCCUACCCACUGUGCUGGAGAAAUUGAUCCCCUCAGCCCUCAGAUUGGCAAGGUGUGUCCAUGGGCUGAGUGCCUGGGCAGCAAUCUGGGACCUAGAGCAGCAUUUCGGACAGGAUGCUCUAUAUCAUCCCCUUUUGGCGGCAGCGUGAUGUGUGAGUCCUGCAUUUGAUACUUCCCUGGGUUGCUUUGAGCUUUGUCAAAAAGAUGCUGAACCACCUAGGCAUCUACUUUAGGAGGAUUUACAGAGCAUGUCAUUCCCCACUGUGGACAGGGGUUGUGGACUUGUUGGUGAAGUUGCUAUGAUAGGUGCCUAAGGUGGUGAUGGUGGGUAGGGUGUUGGAGGUGGCAGGGAGUAGGUAGGGCUUCCUGGUAGGUGCAACUUCAGUCUGUAAAAUUGUCCCUAUAAAUUUUGUAAAAUUAAUCAGGGAAGAAGCAAAAACAAACCAAGCUUGCAGCACAUUUAGCA